CUAUGGUAUGAAUGUGAAAGUUUGGCUCAUUUGGAUAGGAUACGCUAAAACGGACCAAAUAUUUGGACCCGAUCGAUGAUUCGGGUUUCUUCGUGAAUCCGUCGUAAAUCCUCGAGUUCCCGAGGAUCUGCAACUAAAAUCAUUACUUGACACAUAGACAAAUAAAGAGAAGACUGACGACUGCGUGCUGUCGUUUGAAAUGUUGAUGCUAGCGACCCGAGGGACAGGGUUAGGAACUAAUGUAUCGCUAUUUCACACAAAAACAUAUUUCAUCCUUAUCUACUGUAUCUACUGAUGAAAUGUUUUCGGCGUAAAUUCCAACCUCUCUUUUGUGUUUCAUUUCAGUCAUAGACAAAUAAAGAGAAGACUGACGACUGCGUGCUGUCGUUUGAAAUGUUGAUGCUAGCGACCCGAGGGACAGGGUUAGGAACUAAUGUAUCGCUAUUUCACACAAAAACAUAUUUCAUCCUUAUCUACUGUAUCUACUGAUGAAAUGUUUUCGGCGUAAAUUCCAACCUCUCUUUUGUGUUUCAUUUCAGUUCUCUCCUGAUUCUUAUUUUCUUGCAGGUACAAGUUUGUUAAUAAUAAUAACAAUCUUUAUUUCAGAAGGUUCUCAUUUACAGAAAAAUAACAAAUGAAACAAUGUCAAAAACUCUUUACAUAAAAAAUCCUAAAUUUUAGAGGGUUCCAGUUGAAAUAAAUGAUCAUGUAGGUUUCAAAAGGCUUACGUUGGAGUUCUGCCAAAGAAUUGAAGAUUCCAAUUCUCAAUCAAUCCUUCGAUUUCCUGGAUAUUUGUCAGUAAUCACAAAAAUAAUUAUUUUAUCUUCAAAUGAAAUGUUUCCUUCUUUAAUAUUUAAGUGGUACAAUACGAUAUAUAUAUAAUUUGAUUCAA